rnacentral:tRNA from 1 species
GAGGGUGUAGCUCAGGGGUAGAGUGUAUACCUAGCAUGCCUGAGGUCUGAGGUUCAAUCCCCAGUACCUUCA